GCCAGUGUAGCUCAGUGGCUAGAGCAUUGGCCUGUGGACUGAAGGGUCCCAAGUUCAAUUCCUGUCAAGGGCA
rnacentral:tRNA from 1 species